rnacentral:tRNA from 1 species
UGGGCUAUAGCCAAGCGGUAAGGCAACGGACUUUGACUCCGUCAUUCGUAGGUUCGAUCCCUACUAGCCCAG